CAUAAAUUCGUCAAUUCAUAAAAAGCAUUACACACAGAAAUAACUGAAUAACAAUAAUAUUAAAAAGGUCCCAAGGAUCCUCAACAAUUUACAUGGUUCAAAUCAAUUCAAGGAAGAUCAUCUACUAGUUUUAAUCAAUAGAGAUUUAGCUACACAUGCUAAACAUAACAAUUAAAUUCUGAAAAUUAUACAUAAUUUAAUUGUGAAAAGCACCUUAGAAUAAAACUCCCAAUGGUUCAAUUGCUGCUUCUCUCGGUGACGGCGUGAAACUCUCUCCCCAAGUUUGUGUAUCUUCUCUAGGUUAAAAAUAAGGCUUUUAUAUAUGCUUUUUCCCAAAGACAAUCACGUGCAAUUAAAAGGGAAGGGAUCCAGCCAUUAGUGGACUGACACAUCAUCAAGGAAUAAAGUAAAAGUUGAACGUGGCACUGUAGCACGCAUGUAUAUUAAAGAAAGGCUGGUCACGUGUGACGAUGCAUGCUGACGUCAUGUGCGUUGUAAGCCAAAAUCGUGCCACGAUCCGAAUAGCACAGGGACGCGAAAAUUACAGGGGCUGAAGGCGUGUGAAUGUUUAAAACUUUGGAAAUUUUCUAAGUGUUUUUCCUCUUUUUUGCCUUUUGUCUUCAAACAUCUUGCUAUUGUAAUUUCUUCAAAUAAUCUCCUUUUUGACCAUGUAUUACUCUUAAAAAUCACUAAAAUACUAUAAAAUAAUAAUUAAAAAUACUCAAAUGACCAACUGUCAUCAUUUGCUGAGGGCUUCAACUAAUAUUAUCAUAGUAGAUUUCCUUCCUAGAUUGGUAUCCCCCAGAUUAUGUGACAUUGCACUGAACUGGAUUAACAAAUAACCUGUGUUAUUUAUGUUCAUGCACUUAAUUUAUUUUUAACUUGUCUAUUGUAUUAUGUACUGGUACGAGAUGUUGUACCAUCUUCCACAGCAUCUUUCCACCACCCUGCCAAAAUUUCAAUAGGUAAACACAACACAGACACUCUUCAUUAACUUCAUAACAAAAUAUCAAGUAAAUUUUUUUUGGUACAUUAAAAUAUCAAGUAACUUUCUCCUAGAGAAGAUCAAAUUUAUAAACUUCUAGAAAAACAUAGAUAUGAUAAAAUAAAAUAAACCCAGAAAAACGAAAAUCAACAAUUGAAACUCAGUAGACUUACUGUGUUAUGAAGAAGAUGUAUGAUGGGAUCAUAUAUGUAGACAAUUCUACAUGUUGUAAUUUUUAAUCUAAGCCAUUAGUUUGAUCUAAAUGGUUGAAAACCAUUUUUCUUGUUGUCUCAUAGGUGACGGACCUAUUUUGCUUAUUCAUGCUAGCAUUCGCCAUGAGUUAAUAUCUACGUGUGGG
rnacentral:lncRNA from 1 species